GCUUGACUGUAGCUUGUAAUUGGGUUCGGGCUUUUUUUGCGCAGCCUAGGUGGGAGGCAAUGAUGAUUUUUUUCCGGAAAAAUUUGAGCCAUUCGUGAGAGACCACUCUGAAAAGGCUAGAAUCCUAAUAAUGAUCCUUGAAUCAGGACAUUUGACAGUUGCAGGUGGGCAGUUUUACUGGGGCGGUAUUCUCCUAAAAAGUAACGGAGGGGUGCAAAGGUUCCCUCAAGCUGGACGGAAAUCAGCUUAAGAGUGUAAAGGCAAAAGGGAGCUUGACUGCAAGACCUACAAGUCGAGCAGGGCGAAAGCCGGCCUUAGUGAUCCGACGGUACCACGUGGAAGGGCCGUCGCUCAACGGAUAAAAGUUA
rnacentral:rRNA from 1 species